ACCGUCGUGCUUCUUUCAUUGACGGAGGGCGGCGCAGGCACGCACACAUAUAGGAGCAAGACGGAACCUGUUAUCAAAGCUCUUGGCUCUGGCCGCCCGCCAAAAGAAACGUGCCGGGGCGAAGGCUAAUCCACUGGAAAAGCUAAACGCCAAAUGGCAAAUAUUGAUACGCCGCUUUAGUAGCGCCUGCAGGUGAAUGUGGUCAAGGAGGAGGAAAGGAAGGCUGCCCAGACCAGAAGUGGUCCCAAGGGAGUUCAAGAUCAAAGGUGGUGCUGCUUAAGCAAGGGAGUUAUGCUGAUGGAGCUAACGAGCGGUUCAAAAAGAAGGACGGAAAAACGGAGAGGAGGAGGCGACAGAGUGAGGAGAGAAAGCACGCGAGGAAAAGCAAGAUGACUAAUUAGCAAACAAAGAUGAGGUGUCGACGGCCACCUUGAGAACAUCCUCAACAUCAUCUCCUGCCGUCUAGUCGGAGCAACGACAGAAUUAUUCCCUUUGAAUAAAAAGUGGGCAAAAAAGGCAGAACUCAUUGCCUUUCUGUUUCCA